AGUGAACGCUGGCGGCGUGCUUAACACAUGCAAGUCGAACGAGAACGGGUUAUAGCUUGCUAUAAUUGUCAGCUAAGUGGCGCACGGGUGAGUAAUGUAUAGGUAAUAUGCCUCUUACUAAGGGAUAACAAAUGGAAACGUUUGCUAAUACCUUAUACUCCUUACUAACUAAAGUUAGUAAGGGAAAGAUUUAUUGGUAAGAGAUUAGCCUGUAUUGUAUCAGUUAGUUGGUGGGGUAAUGGCCUACCAAGACAAUGACGCAUAACUGGUUUGAGAGGAUGAUCAGUCACACUGGAACUGAGACACGGUCCAGACUCCUACGGGAGGCAGCAGUGGGGAAUAUUGCACAAUGGACGAAAGUCUGAUGCAGCAACGCCGCGUGGAGGAUGACACAUUUCGGUGCGUAAACUCCUUUUAUAUAAGAAGAUAAUGACGGUAUUAUAUGAAUAAGCACCGGCUAACUCCGUG
rnacentral:rRNA from 1 species